GAUGAACGCUAGCUACAGGCUUAACACAUGCAAGUCGAGGGGCAGCAUGAAAGUAGUUUGCUACUUUUGAUGGCGACCGGCGCACGGGUGCGUAACGCGUAUCCAACUUUCCCGUUACUCUUGGAUAGCCUUCCGAAAGGGGAGAUUAAUACAAGAUGGUGUUUCACUUUCGCAUGUUAUUGAAACUAAAGAUUUAUCGGUAACGGAUAGGGAUGCGUGACAUUAGAUAGUUGGCGGGGUAACGGCCCACCAAGUCCACGAUGUCUAGGGGUUCUGAGAGGAAGUUCCCCCACACUGGAACUGAGACACGGUCCAGACUCCUACGGGAGGCAGCAGUGAGGAAUAUUGGUCAAUGGCCGAGAGGCUGAACCAGCCAAGUAGCGUGAAGGAUGAAGGUUCUAUGAGUUGUAAACUGCUUUUGUAUGAGGGUAAAUGUAGGUACGUGUACCUAUUUGAAAGUAUCAUACGAAUAAGGAUCGGCUAACUCCGUG
rnacentral:rRNA from 1 species